rnacentral:rRNA from 1 species
GACGAACGCUGGCGGCGUGCCUAAUACAUGCAAGUCGAACGAGAGCGACCGGUGCUUGCACUGGUCAAUCUAGUGGCGAACGGGUGAGUAACACGUGGGUAACCUGCCCAUCAGAGGGGGAUAACAUUCGGAAACGGAUGCUAAAACCGCAUAGGUCUUCGAACCGCAUGGUUUGAAGAGGAAAAGAGGCGCAAGCUUCUGCUGAUGGAUGGACCCGCGGUGCAUUAGCUAGUUGGUGAGGUAACGGCUCACCAAGGCCGUGAUGCAUAGCCGACCUGAGAGGGUGAUCGGCCACAUUGGGACUGAGACACGGCCCAAACUCCUACGGGAGGCAGCAGUAGGGAAUCUUCCGCAAUGGACGCAAGUCUGACGGAGCAACGCCGCGUGAGUGAAGAAGGUGUUCGGAUCGUAAAACUCUGUUGUUAGAGAAGAAUAAGUGCUAGAGUAACUGUUAGCGCCUUGACGGUAUCUAACCAGAAAGCCACGGCUAACUACGUG